rnacentral:tRNA from 1 species
GGGGGGCGUAGCUCAGUUGGGAGAGCACGGCUUGCCGAGACAGGGGUUCAAAUCCCCUCCCCUCCACCA